rnacentral:rRNA from 1 species
GAUCAUGGCUCAGGACGAACGCUGGCGGCGUGCCUAACACAUGCAAGUCGAACGGGACUAUUGAAGAAGCUUGCUUUUGAAAUAGUCAAGUGGCGGACGGGUGAGUAACGCGUGAGGACCUGUCUCCGGCAGGGGGACAACAUUUGGAAACGGAUGCUAAUACCGCAUAAGCCGAGAGGUGAAAGGAGCAAUCCGGCAGGAGAGGGACUCGCGUUCUAUCAGCUAGUAGGCGGGGUAAAGGCCC